CUUAAUGCUGAUAGAAUAAUAUAGUGAGGAGGAACUGAAGGUGUUACACAGGUGAUACCUGUUAUACUGUCAAUCUCAUUAUAACAAAGUGUUACACAGGUGAUACCUGUUAUACUGUCAAUCUCAUUAUAACAAGGUGUUAUACAGGUGAUACCUGUUAUACUGUCAAUCUCAUUAUAACAAGGUGUUACACAGGUGAUACCUGUUAUACAGUCAAUCUCAUUAUAACAAGGUGUUACACAGGUGAUACCUGUUAUACUGUCAAUCUCAUUAUAACAAAGUGUUACACAGGUGAUACCUGUUAUACUGUCAAUCUCAUUAUAACAAGGUGUUAUACAGGUGAUACCUGUUAUACUGUCAAUCUCAUUAUAACAAGGUGUUAUACAGGUGAUACCUGUUAUACUG